GUAGUACUCCCUCCGUCCGGAAAUACUUGUCAUCAUAAUGGAUAAAAGGGGAUGUAUCUAGAUGUAUUUUAGUUCUAGAUACAUAUCUUUUUAUCCAUUUUGAUGAUAAGUAUUUUCGGACGGAGGGAGUAGACG
rnacentral:pre_miRNA from 1 species